rnacentral:rRNA from 1 species
UGGGGAAUCUUCCGCAAUGGACGAAAGUCUGACGGAGCAACGCCGCGUGAGUGAUGACGGCCUUCGGGUUGUAAAGCUCUGUUAAUCGGGACGAAUGGUUCUUGUGCGAAUAGUGCAAGGAUUUGACGGUACCGGAAUAGAAAGCCACGGCUAACUACGUGCCAGCAGCCGCGGUAAUACGUAGGUGGCAAGCGUUUUCCGGAAUUAUUGGGCGUAAAGCGCGCGCAGGCGGAUUGGUCAGUCUGUCUUAAAAGUUCGGGGCUUAACCCCGUGAUGGGAUGGAAACUGCCAAUCUAGAGUAUCGGAGAGGAAAGUGGAAUUCCUAGUGUAGCGGUGAAAUGCGUAGAUAUUAGGAAGAACACCAGUGGCGAAGGCGACUUUCUGGACGAAAACUGACGCUGAGGCGCGAAAGCCAGGGGAGCGAACGGG